rnacentral:rRNA from 1 species
AGUGAACGCUGGCGGUAGGCCUAACACAUGCAAGUCGAACGGCAGCACAGUAAGAGCUUGCUCUUACGGGUGGCGAGUGGCGGACGGGUGAGGAAUACAUCGGAAUCUACUUUUUCGUGGGGGAUAACGUAGGGAAACUUACGCUAAUACCGCAUACGACCUACGGGUGAAAGCGGGGGAUCUUCGGACCUUGCGCGAUUGAAUGAGCCGAUGUCGGAUUAGCUAGUUGGCGGGGUAAAGGCCCACCAAGGCGACGAUCCGUAGCUGGUCUGAGAGGAUGAUCAGCCACACUGGAACUGAGACACGGUCCAGACUCCUACGGGAGGCAGCAGUGGGGAAUAUUGGACAAUGGGCGCAAGCCUGAUCCAGCCAUACCGCGUGGGUGAAGAAGGCCUUCGGGUUGUAAAGCCCUUUUGUUGGGAAAGAAAAGCAGCAGGUGAAUACCCCGCUGUUCUGACGGUACCCAAAGAAUAAGCACCGGCUAACUUCGUG